GAGAAUUCAUAUAGUCGACUCCAAAUUUUUUGAAUAAAGGUUAGUUGAGUUGAGUUGAGUAGAGUUCUUAUCAGCAUUCCACUUUGUCACUUCUCCUACACUGUAUUUCUUCAUUAACCCACAAGGUCAACUAGUAAAACGGAUUAGAAGCACCAAGAUAAGUUCUCAUCCCAUGGCACAUAAAUUCAUUAGGGUAAGAUUCAGAGAAUUAUUGAACAUAUCCACCACAAUGCUUAAGGUCAUAAAUUCAAAUGACCUAAAAAUUCAAUAAAUUGAAAACUGCAAAUGUUCAACAUCAGACAAAGCUAACAAAUUAAAAUAUGAUGAAAUAUCCAGCUUAUUUCUUAAAAAAAAUAGAAGAAGACAAAUCAAAUGACCUGAAAACUAAAAAGUACCU
rnacentral:misc_RNA from 1 species